CGUCAUCACAGACGUACUCCGGAGAUAUCUUUGGGCUGGCCAAUCGCGUGUGGGGCAUCGGAGGUCCCUGGUUGGCGUGAACGCGUGCGCGACCGACCGAGCCGCCGUUCCCCAUCCCUCGAUUCCUCUCCCUCCCCUCGUCUUCCGCCGUCGCUGCCACCGGCGACCUCCCCACAGCAGCUGCCGCCACCGGCGACCUCCCCCACGGCUGAUGCUCCCACCCCUUCUAUCCUUCCUUUACCUUCCCUCACCAUCGACGACCUCCUCCCAUCCCCCCUGCCCCAAAUUGAGCAGCAGGCCCGGAUCCAACGCAGGCUCAGAUCCGGCACGCUCAUAACCCUGGUUCGUCCUGAGGACACUAUGGACAAGAUGCUCUGGGCCUAGUGAUGCAGCCAUGGACAAGGUUGUUGUGGCCAUGCCUAAAAUAGCCACUGGAUUAGAUUGUUAUUUUAACUAAUCCCUCUUCAGUCUCAGUCAUGUUCAAGACUCAUGUGGUCGUCGAUUACAAGGGUGUCUCAGGGGGUUAAAGAAGUUGUGUUCUUACAGAUUUGAGCUGAAAGUAAUUCAAAAUAGCUGAUUGUUUCUAUCUCCAUGGUUGUGAUGUCAAGGAUCAUGGAGACCAAGGUCACCACAUUCUGGUGCAUGUAGAAAAAUGACUAAGAUCCUUGUAUUUGGUUAUUUUUUGUACUUACUGGCCUAUAUAUUCAUUUCUACGUUGCUUUGCUGAAGUUGCUGCUGUUUUAAUUACAAUGUGUGUUUUGUUGGAGCAGGAGGCCGGAAGGGAUCUUAUACUACGAUGAGCGUUUUCUUCAAUCAUACCAAAAUGCAUGAAAAAUAUAGCUGUGGUUGUUGGCCUGAUUUAAAUGAGAAUUUAAAUAUUUCUUGCUUGGUUAUUCCAGUUAUGUUACAAUAUUUGAUUUUCGUAGCUCAGGAUGUCGAUUCACAUUGUCUUAAUUCCUGUAUGCUGGUUUCUUUCUACCCCUUGACAGGGAGAUCCAGGAAGGAGGUGACCGUCUCCCACGGCGUCGCAUCGUCAUGAGGAGGACGAAAGUGAGCAUGGUACCUUUGACAAAUCAAUCCUAUUUCCCCCCUUCUAUGCGACGCAGAUAGGUCACAUUGAUUCAACAAGUAUGUGCGAUUUGUUGUGCACAAAUUAAACAUUUAUUUAUGCAAAGGUUUGUUCUCUCAGUUUCCUCCAAGUCCAAGUUCAGUUUGAACUGUCUAAACAGGGAUUUACAGAUUGUAUAUUCUUUGCCCACUUGCUAUUUUUUUGCCAAUACCGUCAUUGUGAUUAGCAAAAGUAGGAUCGUAACCUUUUUAUAUGCUUGGUUACUCUUUAGAUUACGAUGUUGAAGACACAGCUUUACCUCUUCAACCAUCUGAACUAUGCUGCACCAGAACUGGUCCCUAGUGGUGAUUCUAAAGUAGGCUUUUCCUGUGACAUAUUUAGUUUUGGAUUGCCAUAAUAAUGUGAAAAUGGUAUCUGUUUUAAUCUGGCACAUGCUUUGUCAAAAUAUAAUGUAUUUAAUCUGGACUUCGCUCUACCUUUGACAUAUGCUACAGCUGCAUAUGCAGAAAACAUACUGACAUGUCCCCCUGUAAUUGCAGUAUAUGAAUUCAUUGACAUAUUUAACAAGUGAAGCCUUUUCUAAUAUUCCUACUCAUCUGGUGGUUGAUUUGCAAAAGAUGCUCUCAGUUGACAGCGGCGGCGGACAGCGCUGGGCGGCACGCCCAUCAGUGCCCGUGUGCCCCGACCGGUGCGGACUGCUUGUGUAGGGCCACAUCAGCUGGUUGCUCAAGCCUGCGUGUGGACUGCCCGCUAAGAUUGAUUUCCAGCUCAUCUCCAUGGGUUCCCUGAGGUGAGCGCGAUGCCGAGGAGAGAUGGCGUCGAGGACGACAUCUGAGGACAUCAUCACGCUCAUGGCUCCGCCGCCAUCGUCAUCGAGUUUUUUGGUUUCACAGCAAACAGGUGUGCGACGGGCCGGCAACCAGCGGCGCCAUCUCUAUCCCUGACACUAGAUAAUAGCGUGGCUAAUGGCCCGCGCGCGGCGCGCCUGUCUGUGCCCGUGCGCUCAGGCUGAUGCGGACUGCGACUGCGCGUAGGGCCGCCGCAGCUGCAUGCUCAAGGCGGCGUGCGGACUGCCUGGAUCUAAGACGACAUAUCACACUUCUGCCCGUCAUCCUAAUUUUGGUGCUUUUUUAGAGGUGUGGGAUUGGGCAGUGGUGAGCUUGGCUCUCAUAUCAGGUUGGGAAGCAGUCAAUGGGUGAUUACCGAACGUGUCGGAACUUCCAAGCAAAUGUCUCUCUGUGGCUAAAAUAAAUCUUAUUUCCCCUCAAGUUACUAAACUGCAAUGGGUAGUUGGUCGGUCGCUGUCAAUUGAAUGUGGGAAUUGAAAUGUCUUGCCGUUUUACAAUUCUUGUUUUGCUUCACAAUCUUCUCUGUUAAAUAGACUUGUUAGUAUCUAUGAAGCUACUACGCUUGCUUUGCUUUAUGAAUGAACACUUGUCUCCUGCAGUUUUUACCGUGUCUUA